UGCGUAGGCGGGCUGCCAAGUUUGAGGUGAAAUCCUCCGGCUCAACCGGGGAAGUGCCUUGAAUACUGGCGGUCUGGAGGGAGGGUAGGGGCGUGCGGAACUAACGGUGGAGCGGUGAAAUGCGUUGAUAUCGUUAGGAACUCCGGUGGCGAAGGCGGCACGCUGGACCUUUACUGACGCUGAGGCACGAAAGCCAGGGGAGCGAACG
rnacentral:rRNA from 1 species